ensembl:lncRNA
GUUAAGGUGUCUGCAAAUUCCAGUUCUGAUUCUUUAACUUUUAAAGUCAGAUGCUGUAGUUUAUUUGCCAGGACAUAUAUUUUGACAAGAAAAAUAUAGUGACAAUCCCCAACACAGAACUGAGUGAGGCUUACAGAAAAAAGGUUGAUGGAAACUAGCUUUGGGAAACAAUUACUUCAUUAAUGUAACUGUCAGAUUCUGGAGACCAUUGUGUGUUGCCAACUGUUUGAAAGAAAAGGGAUCCCAAAAUAAACCUAAGGUGCAAAUUUUCUGUGCCUGGGCCUCGACUGUGAAAUGAGAUCCCAGAGAAGUUUUGGGGUACAGCUGCAUAACCCAAUUGAUGUUUAAUAUUUCAAUCUGGGCUUAAGAUCAAAAAGAGCAAUAUGCUUGAGAAGAGGUACAGGACUGUAGCUGAUGGAAUGAUAUUGGCUUGGAGAAGUGUGAGAAAAUGUAGCUGUCAAGCUUAUCAGAGUGGUAGCAAUAAUGGAGUCACAGAAGUAUCACUCACGUUGAAAAUCUUCUGUAGGGCUUUUAAAGUGCAAUCUAAAUAUCCUUCCAUAGCAGCUGUGUGUGAAAAAGCCUUUUUCUUCUUGAAAGAGUAAGGAGGUGUAAUAUCAUUCUCAGGAGACAGCAGUGCUCUGACCACAUGGAGCACGAGACUGUCACCAGUGUAAGACACAAACAGGCAAAGUCAAGCUUUGCAGCAGUACAAAAGGAGCUGCCCUCCAUAGAGACUCGUGUCUCAGCUCAGCUGCUCUUGCUGCUUCAGAGAGGCUUUAGGAGUCACUUGGCUCCAAAAGGAGAGACAGAAGAACUGGGGGGCUAGGAUGCAAGUUGAAGAAUGACUGCUGUGUUUCAGCCGGAGCUUGGCCAGCUCUGUCUGACUCCAGCAACUGAGAGCUUAAGGACAAUGAAUCAUCUUUGCAUCUUGUUUAGUUUCUGUGUUACAUUUCCUCCUACAUCAGAGUGACCAAGCUAAGAAGGGUUGCCUCCUUUCAUGCUUCACACAUUCCCUCCCUUCUCUUUCUAUCUCCUCAUCUGUUCUUUUGUCUUCCAUUUUCUCAAGGUCCACACCCAGCAGCAGAAGUGAAGAUGAUGAAUCUGAAGAAGGAGGGCUGACUAGGUUCAUUUUUUCCGAAUCUUUCCGGCUAUCUCCUUCUAUGCUCCUUCCCUCCGAGCCGUUGCCUCCCAUCCGGAAAACCUCGCAGUCUUCCAACAGAAGAGAAAUGUGCAGCGUUGAGAAGGAGAGUGGGAAAAAUGGCAGUGGCUACGAUGAAGACACCAGAGAAAGAGAGGAGCUGAAGUCAAAGGGAAAAAGGUGUAAGGUAAGGAGACCAAGCUAUGUCCUGUGUGGGAGAUUUUCAGUCGAUGUGCUGCCAGCAGAGCUUGGAGAGCUUUCCCUGUGAAGUGAGCCCAGGGAAGCAGCUGAGGCAAGGAAGAGCUCAGCUGGACACUGAGCUUCAGGAUGUCUUUGCAAUGGGUGUGUGGUGCAGACUUCACAUUUUCAGUGUGUAACAAUAGCAGGAGAGGACUUUGAAGGGUUUCUGGGUUCUCCCUCAGCACUUCCCUUUGCAUUCCCAAUCCUGGCCCAAGCUGCUCCAUCAGUCUGACUUGUCUUUUCCUGCCAGGUCCCCCAUUUAGUCCAUAGCUAAAUGUCUUGGGGCAUGAAUGGGGACAAGACUAGUUGCUUGAUGUGAACACUGUGUUCUACUCUUUGCAGGCUUCCUUGCUGUAUCCCACUGAAGGGGAUAAGAAGAAGGAAUCACUGGGACUGCCUUUGAUCCCCCCGAUACGCAGGGCAGUAAGUCCCGAUGUUGGCAGUGCUGCAGGGUCUCUGCAAAGCUCUCUGCAGCUGGAUGUGCAAGAGUCCCAGGAGNNNNNNNNNNNNNNNNNNNNAAGCCCAAAGACACCUAUGGCAGGUUCACCAUGACAAAUCUCUUCCCCGACUCUCUCUGCCUGGGUCAGUGCUGCAGGCUGAGGCUGCAGGAGGAGAUGCCUUCUGCC